CCUACGGGUGGCAGUAGUGAGGAAUAUUGGUCAAUGGACGAGAGUCUGAACCAGCCAAGUAGCGUGAAGGAUGACUGCCCUAUGGGUUGUAAACUUCUUUUAUAUGGGAAUAAAAUGUUCCACGUGUGGGAUUUUGUAUGUACCAUAUGAAUAAGGAUCGGCUAACUCCGUGCCAGCAGCCGCGGUAAUACGGAGGAUCCGAGCGUUAUCCGGAUUUAUUGGGUUUAAAGGGAGCGUAGGUGGAUUGUUAAGUCAGUUGUGAAAGUUUGCGGCUCAACCGUAAAAUUGCAGUUGAAACUGGCAGUCUUGAGUAAAGUAGAGGUGGGCGGAAUUCGUGGUGUAGCGGUGAAAUGCUUAGAUAUCACGAAGAACUCCGAUUGCGAAGGCAGUUCACUGGACUGCAACUGACACUGAGGCUCGAAAGUGUGGGUAUCAAACAGGAUUAGAUACCCUUGUAGUC
rnacentral:rRNA from 1 species